UGCGCAGGUGGGCUUGUAAGUCAGUGGUGAAAUCCUGCAGCUUAACUGUAGAACUGUUAUUGAUACUGGUUUUCUUGAAUAUAGUUGAGGUAGGCGGAAUGUGUAAUGUAGCGGUGAAAUGCUUAGAUAUUACACAGAACACCGAUUGCGAAGGCAGCUUACUAAGCUAUGAUUGACGCUGAGGUACGAAAGCGUGGGGAGCGAACAGGAUUAGAUACCCUGGUAGUCC
rnacentral:rRNA from 1 species